GCCUAGUCAAGGUUGUCGUUCGUUGGUUCCGAUCCAAGCGACAUCCAUUAUUUCCGGCCAAGAUCUCGUUCAGUUGAUGAUGUUUUGUAAUUCAAAGCUUUGAGGUCUGGCAUGAGCAUGACAGGCACCCAGGACCAUCUGGUCAGGACCGUUGCACCUAGGAAUUGCUUGAGGAGAUUUUUUAUGUUUUGAGUCUGGCAUGAGCAUGACAGGCACCCAAGACCAUCUGGUCAGGACCGUUGCACCUAGGAAUUGCUUGAGGAGAUUUUUUAUGUUUUGAGUCUGGCAUGAGCAUGACAGGCACCCAAGACCAUCUGGUUAGGACAGUUGCACCUAGGAGUUGCUUGAGGAGAUUUUUUAUGUUUUGAGUCUGUUUCUUUUUAUGUUGUCUUGUGCUUUAUUGCCUUGUUAUUUGCGGAUGAUAUAGUCCUAAUUGAUGAGACGCGAGGUGGCGUUAACAAGAGGCUGGAGGUCUGGAGACAUACCCUGGAGUCUAAGGGUUUCGAGUUGAGCAGGACCAAGGCAGAAUACUUAGAGUGCAAGUUCAUCGGUGUUACCAGGAGGCGGAUGGGGAUAUGAAACUCGAUACGCAAGUCAUUUCCAAGAGAGAGAGUUUUAAGUAUCUGGGAUCUAUAAUUCAGAAGGAUGGGGAAAUAGAUGAUGAUGUCACGCACCGUAUCGGAGCAGGGUGGCUGAAGUGGAGGCUCGCUUCCGGUGUCUUAUGUGAUAAUAAUGUGCCAUUGAGACUUAAGGGUAAGUUCUACAAGGUAGUGGUUACACCGACUAUGUUGUAUGAGGCAGAGUGUUGGCCAGUCAAAAAUUUUCAUGUCUAGCAGAUCAAGGUAGCGGAAAUGAGGAUGUUGAGAUGGAUGUGUGGGCAUACUAGGUUAGAUAGAACUAGGAAUGAAGUUAUUCGAGACAUGGUGGGAGUGGCGCCUAUGGAGGCAAAGAUGUGUGAUUCAAGGUUGAGAUGGUUCGGGUAUGUUAAGAGGAUAAGCGCAGAUGCCCCUAUCAGGAGAUGUGAGAGGUUGGCCUUAGGAGGUGAGAGGAGGGGUAGAGGUAGGCCAAAAAAGUCUUGGGAGGAGGUGAUCAGGCGGGAUAUAGUGCUACUUGAACUAACCGAGGACACGAUUCUAGAUAAAAGGGUGUGGAGGUUGAAGAUUAGGGUAGAAGGUUAGUAGGUAGUUGUGCAUCUCCCAUUGUCUUCUCUAGCUCGAUAGUAUUAGCGCUAGUACGGUACUCUUUUUUCCUUAGUUUGCUAUAUUCGCAUGUCUCAUUUUGUUGUUACUUGCCAUUGGUAAUUCCAUAGUUUGCUAGCAGUACUUCGUUCAUAUUCUCGUCUGCUGCCUUGGAAUUAGUUUUCUAAAUAUGUUAUCUUGCUACUACUUGUUAUCAGUACCCCUUUCAUAUUAUCUGUUGUUAUCUCCGAUUUAGUUUUCUAAUUAUUAUUUUUCUAUUACUUGCUACCAGGGCAUCUCUCACCUUCUUUAGCCGGGGGUCUAUGGAAAGCAGUCUUUCUGCCCUUCUAGGGUAGGGGUAAGGCUGCAUACAUCCUACCAUCCCCAGACCCAACUUGUGGGACCACACUGGGUUGUUGUUGUUAUUGUUGUUGUUAUGCUUUAUCGUCAUGUCCAGUAAUAAUGAUUCUUUUAGUUGGUGUAAGAGUUUGUCGUAGUAUAGUUGAUGUUUAUCAAGUCUCUCAUUAUCGUAUCCUAUUUUGUAUUUCAAAAUCAUAAAAAAAAGUUGUAAAUGAAAAUCCAAAAAAAAUUA